GUACGAUAAAGGCAAAAUCAUUGAAAAAUGAUGACGCAAAACUAUAGGGGCUAAAAUCAUGUUGGAUGAUUAUGCCCGCCAGUUACCGAA
rfam:Bacillus sp. OV166 genome assembly, contig: Ga0115450_12